UGACACACCUCCGUGAGCAGAGCCAGUCCAGGGGCCGCGGCUCAGCUCCAGCUCCUAGCUCUGCUGCUGACCUGAGGCGGGAUGUGCUGGCUCCGCAGGCUCCCUCCUUGGGUCCUACAACAGCCCACAGCCCUACUGUGUAGUCUGGCCCUGUCUGCCUUCCCCGUCACUUCCCACAGCUUCCCCAGGCUCCUCCAUGCCCAGGGCAAAUGCAGCUGCCUCAGACACACGCCUUUCUUCUCUGCUUCCGAGCUGUUCCAGCUGGUCUGUCCAUCCAGGGGGUGUCUAAAUCUAUCUUAGGUGUCCGUGCCUUCUAGCAAGCCUCCCCUGUCUGAGCUCCUUUGGUGUCUGGCUUAUGGCUUCCCCCAAGUCAGAGGACCUGUGUGAGGGGCCUCAUUACCCCACCCCACCCGGCUCCUUGAGUCUGAAAUAUGGGUGUGCCCACUUCAUCUCAGCAACCCCAGGACCUGCCCCAGGAUCUGGCAAUCGGGCCAUCAGCAUGGACCCUGAAUUCCCCUGUGCUGGGCCCUGGGGAUGGGGUGCAAACAAGGCAGAUAAUAAAACAGGCGCACUCUGAGUUCCCUGAGCUGAGUGCCUGGUGGGAAGCAGCAUGGGACAACCAUCCCGGUGCCUGUGGGAGCAGAGAGCAGACGAGAGGUGUGACCUGUUCAGGGGAGGCCUCCCUGAGGAUGAGUAGGAAGACCAACAGGUGAGGGCCCCCCAGUGAGUGCUCAAAAGAUGCUCAAAUGCAUAAUCAAAUGAAUACCUAUUCAUUUCUGUGUUUGGCUGGAACCAUGGGUU